UACGUAGGGUGCAAGCGUUGUCCGGAAUUAUUGGGCGUAAAGAGCUCGUAGGCGGUUUGUUGCGUCGGCUGUGAAAUCCCGAGGCUCAACCUCGGGUCUGCAGUCGAUACGAGCAAACUAGAGUGUUGCAGGGGAGACUGGAAUUCCUGGUGUAGCGGUGAAAUGCGCAGAUAUCGGGAGGAACACCAGUGGCGAAGGCGGCACUCUGGGCCGGUACUGACGCUGAGGAGCGAAAAGCCCAGGGGGAGCAAAGCGGG
rnacentral:rRNA from 1 species